GGAGAACCGACCUGAGGGGAGGAAAGGGGCCAAGAGCAGCCUCGCCAAACAGGAAGAUGUUUAGGUCUGAUCAGUGCCUAUGGCAGGAGCUUCACAUCAUUAACAGGCUGGAACAACAUCUUGCUUGUUUGGAAGGCAGCUGGAACACUUUCAGUGCUCAGUACAAGUAAUGUGAUUGUCAUUGUCAUGUAUGAAUUUCAGCCUGGAAUAUUGAUUGCAUCACCCAUGUUUUUCAAGGUGACAAGGAAUCCACAGCCAAAAUAGGAAGAUGCUACUCUAUGAGAAAAAGCCUCUGUCUUAGCCAUUGCUUCACCCAGUAGAACCUCUUGAUCUUGGAAUGUCUCAAGAAGCAGAAGCUAAAUGCUUCAGCACAAGACAAUGGAGAAUGUAAGAGAUUAUCAACCAUCAGAUAUGCAGAAAGAACAAUUCAUCCUACAUUGCCUGCAGUGAAACAUGGGACCUCAAGCUCAUACAAGGUUGGAAUCUCUGCCCUAGGAGGUUAACACAGCAUCUGAUCAGAGAAAUUACGGCUGAGGUGAAAAGAAAAAUGAAAAUGAUGCCCCCAAGGACAAGAGACUGGAGAAAACCUAUGUGCCUCUAGUUCGUUUCUCAUCCUCCAGACGAUGAUUUGGAGAACAGCCUCAAUUAAGUCAGAGCGCAAAGGUGAACCCGAAAACUGCAUAAUGUCGUACUUCAGUGGAGAAUGAUGAAAGGCAGCAAGCAAAGCACCUUGUACCCAUUCAGUCCCACUGCUUCUUAUGCAAGGACUUUGGGUAAUGCCAGCUCACUGCCUAUGCCCACCCUUCAGGCAUCAUUUCUGCCCUCUAGAGAAAGAAUAACUACUUGAUCAUAUUGUUUGGAGAUAAGGAAAUACUUGCAAAGGAUAACUAUAUCUCAGAUGAUCAUAAGCGAACUUUGAAGGUGUUUGAAAUUUCUGCUGAUACUGCUGUAACUCUGGAAAUUGCAAGAAUAACCCUAGAUGAAAAUACAGUACAAGGACGAACAAUCAUGCACUGCUGUCAGAUCACUUAACCCCACGUAUAAACUGGCCAGGAAGGCAAAGAAAAUGAAAAUGAAAAAUACAGCCUUUGAUUUUUUUUUUUACAGUAUUUUUAUUUUUGCCAGCUAGCCCCAAAACACCCUUUGAGAUCAAUCCUGGAAUAAUGGCUCACAGUGGAGCCCAAAAACACUGCUUUGUUUAGAAGGGACUCAUGGCCUCCUCACAUCCACUCAAAGGUGUGAAAAUGCUAUCUUAAAUUGCAAUCCUAUGCACCCAUGCCUGGAAGAAAGGCCCCUAUUGAAUACAGCAGGAUUAAACAUAAAAUAGAUCUAUUUAGGAUUGUAUCAUAAGAUUUUCACAACAUUCUAACCUACACCAAAAGCAAAAGGAGGAACAGCGGUGCGGUCCAUAUAGAAAAUCUCAAAGCGGG